rnacentral:rRNA from 1 species
GCAAUAGCUGAUUGCAUUUAAUUUAAUGUAGUUACUACUUGGUAGUUUAAAUUUCUAGGUAGAAUUAUGAUGAUGACAUUAUCUACCUAUUAGUCUUGACCAAAUUACGUGCCAGCAGUCGCGGUAAUACGUAGAAGACAAGUGUUAUUCAUCUUUAUUAGGUUUAAAGAGUACCAAGACGGUUAAUAAAGCCCAAAAGAAAUGAAUACGGGGGACACAUUAACUAGAGUUAUAUGAAAGGAAGCUAUAAGGUACUGUUGAGUGUAGAGAUGAAAUUUUAUGAUACCAGAUAAUUGGCACAGAUUUAUGCGAAGGCAUCUUCUUAUGUAAUAACUGACGUUGUAGGACGAAGGCUUAGGAAGUGAACAGGAUUAGGUACCCCAGUAAUCUAGGCAGAAAAUGAUGAAUGUCAUAGGUUACUUACAAUAGUCUAUAAAUGAAAGUGUAAGCAUUCCACCUCAAGAGUAAUUUGGCAACAUUGGAACUGAAAUCAUUAGACCGUUUCUGAAACCAGUAGUGAAGUAUGUUGUUUAAUUAGAUGAUACACAAAAACCUUACCACAAUUUGAAUAUAUAUAAAAUAUAUUUACAAGCGCUGCACGGCUGUCUACAGUUAAUGUCGUGAGACUAUGGUUAGCUCCAUUAAAUUGACGAAAACCCAAAUUAUAUUUAUAAAUAUAAU